rnacentral:rRNA from 1 species
UUCCAAAAGACUCUCGGCAACGGAUAUCUCGGCUCUUGCAUCGAUGAAGAACGUAGCGAAAUGCGAUACUUGGUGUGAAUUGCAGAAUCCCGUGAACCAUCGAGUCUUUGAACGCAAGUUGCGCCCGAAGCCAUUAGGCCGAGGGCACGCCUGCCUGGGUGUCGCA